UUUUUCUGGAUAGAGAUUGUUCUCCCCUUGAGCUGUUGCUGGAAGGGGUCAUUGGAAGGGAAACAACAACCCUGAUGGAAACUAAUGACUGUAUCUUUUCCAUUUCCCAUGAAAGUAAGAAGUAAGCGGUAAAGCUGUUUUUAAUGAGUCAUCAAAUAUAGCUGAUGUUCUUUUCAGCAUCAGUGUUGUGUGAGACCAAAAAGUAUAGUCAAAUAACAGAUCCUAUCUUCUCUUGGAUCAGAUAAAGAGCUAAUCAUAAGAGAUACAAAGAAAAUGUUUGCAUUCUCUGUCAGGAAUAUGAGGAGAAGGAAAAAGAGACUUGCAAGGAGAGCUUUUUGAAUUUUUCCAAUAUCUAUGUGGCAGAUCUCCCAGCCGUGAAUAACACACUGUGAAGCACCUCAGGCAGAUUCCUUAGUGACUGGCAUCGCAUCUGGCCACAGAUGAAGAGUGAAGGACACCAAACAUUAAAACCUCUUUCCCCAGCCUCUGUGCAUUAUUGCUCUUUGCAAUUUGGCUGAGUCUCUCUUUGGCUGUGGUAGAGGGCCAGCAGAGAGCUACUGCUUUCUUUUUCAUCCCUGUUAGCUUCACCUGCUGGAAGAUGGCCACUGAGCAAUUUGACCUUUGCUCGUGGUUCAGGGUUGUAGUCUGUAGCACUACUUAUGCCAGAAGCAAGAAGCAUAGCCUACCUAUCUAUGUUGCAAAAGCAGUUGUGUUUGAAGGCUCAGCCUUUGUUUUUCUUAGUGUUUUGUUAUAUCGCUAUUCCUGUUUGAUUGUCUGUGAAAUGGAUGCACAGGAAGAAACUGCAAGACAUUCAGUCAUUGGAGCAGUCUCUAACCAGUCUUUCUGAGCACUGAUAUAGCUGAACUCUUCCUACAUACUUCUGUCUCACAGAUCCAGAUGUUCUUCUCACUUCUGUUUAGAUUUGUUACCUGAGAAGAAUGACAAAGACUUCCACAGAGCACUUCUUGCUUGAGCUGACAGAUCUUGAGCUACGUGAUGAGAGCUUACAAUGGAAAAAAAAAAAGUCAUUGACUUCCACUGCAUCCACUAGCUUCCAGAAGGCUUGGAAGGGUUCAACCUGGUAUGUCUUACCAGAUAGAGACCCUGGAAGAAAGACUUUUUGUUUGUAAGUAAACCUUAAAAUGUGGAGUGCAAACAAGUGAUGAAGCAAAAAAAAAGUGCGUGUCUCAGUCGUGUGAUUUCACAGAUAGAUGAAACGCUACUUUGUUUGUGGACUGAAUUCUAUCUGUAUGAAGAAUCUGAUGUUGCAUGGUAUGUAUUUUGUGGCAGUUUGCGUAUUUUCAGUAAUAUUCAUAAUGUUUGGGAAAGGCUCUGUAGCUAUGGUUGCAUUUCAAGGGAAGAGUUGUAGUAGUGCAGUUCUGUAUUGUGGUCUUAGUAUGGUCAUUGAAGAAAAAUAGAUUCCUAAUUAUAGGAGCCUAUUCUUAGAGCAGUCAUCUAACUAUUUUUUAUUUAAAUAAUUUUGGUAUGUAUGUAUAAAUGAAGGAAGAAAAUGCCCCUCUUACUCCUUUAUAAUAGCAACACUUUUUGAAACAGAAAUUAUUUUGCAGGACUGGAUUAUUUUUCCUGCUCACCCGCAGCUCCCCCUUCAUUUAGACAUCAUUUGAGAUGCUUACCUAACCUCCAUUUUUUUUAUUAUUUUUUCCUAUAUUUUUAGCUGAUUUUUGCUGUAUUUACAGAGGAAUAAAGUGCAGCAGGACUGUCCUGGAAGUAGAAGAAUGCAUCUGAACAAAAUCAGUUGGCUUUGUCAAGAAAUUCAAGGCCAUCUGAAGUUCUAGCUCUAAAGAUAUGUUUCUCAACAUCUGCCAAAAAGAAAGUUUAGCAAAUGUUUAUGUGAUGUAGAAAAUAAAUGCAGUGGGUUAGUAGAAAAAAAAUUAUUUCCAAUUCAAAGUUUGAUAGAUGUUUGCCCUAAAGUCCUUUUCUCUUUUUUUCUUUUUUUAGCUACAUGGAGUGAUCAUGAAUAAAGGUAGAUUUUUGCCAAAGAUAUUUUGGUAGGGUUAAGGGCUGAAAAUACAGUUUUUGGGAAGUGAGAAAAAGCUAAGAACGGAGCAAGAGUGAUCUUGGGAGAAUUAGCAGAAAUGUUCUACUUGAGGAAAAGGAAAUAGUGCUAUUAAAAUGCAUAAAUAAAAGGAAGCAUUAAAUUGAAGUCUUUAAGAAAAGAAAUCAUGAGGUUAAUGAGAAGUGCUUCUGCAGUUGCUAAUGGAAACUUCUGAUGGCUGCAGGCUUAGCUUAGGAUGUUCUGUCCCAUCUGUAAUUAUAUUGUCUGUUCUCAGGCACAUACCUUAGUGGUGGUUUGUAAGGUACUGCAGUGGAAGGCAUUGUAUUUUUACUUGUGAGGAGAAGCUCUUUGAGAUUCUGGAAUAAAGCUGUAUUUUCAUGGAGUAGCUGGUGGUUUUUCAGCCUCAAUAAACAGUGUUCCCGCUCCUGUUUC
rnacentral:lncRNA from 1 species